CAAAACACAUGUUUUGGAGGCAGAAUUAUUGGAUUUCAAUGCUGUGUCAAUUACUGACCAGCUCUAUGGGCUGGGG
rnacentral:lncRNA from 1 species